AGUAGAUGCUUAAUAAACACUGAAUGUGUGCCUCUGAGCGAAGCCAUCCCUGCCUCCGUGACCCUUUCGUUUUACUUCACCAUUAAUAACACUAUUGGCUCACAGUUCGGUGUGGAUUCAGCAGGUACCAGGCCCUGUUCUAGGCACUUUUUAUAGGUAUCAAACCAACUGAUCCUCCCAACAACCCUACUAGGUAAACGCUAUGAUUAGGCUGAGCCCUAUGAAAUUGUCAAUGUUUGACUUCUUCUGACCCACAGAAAUGCCAGUUUCAUUCGGUGCAACCUAACCUUAUCCCCAUUUUCCAGAUGAGGACACUGGGGCAUAAGAAAGGUUAAGUGACCUGCCUGAGAGGACAUGGACAAGCCAAUAUGCGGCAGAAGUGGGGUUUGAAUCCAGGCCGUCUGGUUGUAGAGUCUACACUUGGAACCACCAGGCUGCCAGUUUCCCCUGGGGGCCUCCCCACCUGUCUCCUGGAGCGGAAGAGCCCACAUGCAAUCCCGCAGCAAAUCGAGCGGCUCUGCUUUCAAAAUGUGUCAGAAUCCAACCACUUCCACCGCCCCCACCGCUGCCGCCCCGGUCUAGCCGCGGUCAUAUCUUCCCCGGAUUGUUCCAACAGCCACCCCAGGGUCUCCCUGCUUCUGUCCUUGCCUGGCACACCCAGCCCCUUCGGUCCGUUCUCCACAUGGCAGCCGGGGAAGUCUGUCAACUGUAACUCAGAGCACGUCAGUCUUUUCUCAGACCUUUCUAGAAGCUCCCCCUUUCAUUCAGAAUAAAAACCAAGGCCCCGCCAUGGUUGACCAGAACCUGCAUGUGUGGCCCCUCAGACUCCCCCUCCUGCCCCCUUACUCAGCUCCAGUCACACUGGCCUCCUGGCUGCUCCUGAAACCUGCCAGGCACGCUCCUGCCUCAGGGCCUUUGCACUGACUGUUCCCUCCGCCUGGGAUGCUCUUCCCUCAGCUAUCUCUACACAGCUCACGCCCCCAGCUCCUUCGUGUCUCUGCAGUGGGCCAACCCCAACUCCCCUAUUUAACGACGCAACCCUGCCCCUACAACUCUCAAUCCAGUACCCUGCACUGCUUUGCCUUUUUCCCAUAGCACCUCCAUCUUCUACUGUACCAUACGCUUUACUCAGUUAUUACAUGUAUUUUUUUAAUUCCCUGUCCAUCCCACUAGGAUAUAAGUCCCACAAGGGAGGGAUAUUUGGUCUGUUCACUUGUGUGUCCCCAGCACCUAGGACAUAUGUCGUAAGCCACAAAAAAUAUGUGACAAAUGAAGAGGUAUGUGACAGCCCCCCUUACCCGGUGGCCAUGCGAGGAGCCCUAGGGUACCCCCUGAGCACAGUUUGAGAACCUGUAUUGGACCCAUUUGGAAUUGCUGUUUUCUGAGUGAGCUGAAGUGAGCGCUAAGGUUCUCCCCCCACCCCCGCCCUGCCCCCAAGAUUGUCGGUUCUGCCAGGGUCAAAUGGAGAGGAAUCUAUGCUCUGCUUUUCUCUCUGCAGGGCCCUCAGGAAGGGACAUCUGCUCUGGGUGUGUGUGGCACAUGUGCCCCCAGCCCUGGCCUGAGAUAGGCAUCGAGUGCCCACUGUGUGCUGGGCGGCGUGCCAUGUGGGAGGCAGUGGUGAAUGGCAGAGCCAGUGUCAGCUCUCCAGGCGCUCCCACUGCAAUGGCGGAGGGACAAGGAAGUGGCCAUCACAAUGCAGCCAGGUCAGGGGGGCCGUGCCAGCACAGACGAGGGCCCUAAAUCCAGGUGGGCUGGGGGUCGGGGAAGGCCUCUCACAGGGGCUUGUAUAUGAUGAGGCCUGAGGGGCAGUAAGAGUUACGCAGAUAAAGAGAAGCAGGGAGAGUGCUCCCAGCAGAGGGAACAGCAUGUGCAAAGGCCAGGAGGUGAGCGUGAGCCUGGCUGUUCAGGGGACACUUGACUUUCAGUCUGGCUGCUGCAGCAAGGAAGGAGGUAGGGAAAGAAGGCUGGAGCGGUUGCUGGGGAACUGACAGUGAAGGGCCCAGGGGUGCCGGCCCCGCUGGGGUGUACGUACUGUGGCCACUGGUGUAGUGCUGCAGCUUGUCUGUGUACUCCGAGUCAGCACGCUCAAACCCCCGUCUUCUGGAACAAGAGCAAAGGGCUGGAGCCACCUGGAGGCGCCCGGGGAGCUGGGAGCCACGAUGGACAGCCAGGCCUGGAUGGGGCCGGGGGACACCCACCCACCUGUUACACACGAUGGCGAUGACAACCACGGCAAUGAGGAAGACCAGGCCAGCCGCUGAGGAGCCAAUGAUGAGUGGCAGCUUCUCCUGGAUGCUCGUCUGGUACUCGGCUGGGGAGAAAGCACAGCACAGCGUUCUCAGCCUGGCUCCGGGGUCCUGACACCUAGCACUGUAAUCUCCAACUGUCAGGCAUCAGAGCCCACACCCUUUAACAAUGCUGCACCUCAAAGAUUAUUAGAGCAGCAAGGGUGCUUGGAGACCAUGUGGUCCCAGACUGGGAGACACAGCACACGGGGUGCAACCUCCCAUUCUCUUGCCCAGGGUAGACAUUACUAAUCCAUCCCAGCACUUCUUCCUGCUGAACUCAGAUGUGGCUUCAGAAUUCUUCUCAAUCCAGCUGCAAGCACUGGAGAAAUGUACGGAUGAAACAGGUUUGCUCUCUUGGACUGAAUACAACGCUGUUAUUUUACAGCUGAGAAAAAUUUGGACCAGGGACCAGGAGUGACUUGCACAGAGUGGCUCUGCAAGUGAGGGCUGAGCUUCCAAGAGUCCUCGGAAAGGAGGUGGCUGACGUGACGGUAACGGGGGAGUCCGUAUCCUUUCCAGGCCACAGAGACAGCACUUCUGUUUAUGGCUGUGCGGCUUACACAGUGCACAAAGGCUCCCAGCCAACAGGGAGGGUCGACAUCUAGAAGGGGGUCAACAUCUUUUCUAAUUUGCACGAAGGCACUCUGUAGGCACGGUGGCUCUGGUGGCCCUUGAGUUUGUUCUGUGUGUGGAGUCAGAGCGCUCUGGACGCUGCCUACCUUCUGUCAUGGUCUGGAAGUACAUCUUGCCGCUGUAGCGCCCGUAGCCCGCCACGGUGCGCGCCCGCACCUGGAAGACAUAGAUGGCGCCGGCUUUGAGGCCCUGCACGGUGACCGUGUUGGUGGGGCUUUUUAUGGCUGUGGCGUUGUACUCACUGAGCUCCUGCCGAGGAACGGAGAAGACAGUUAGCGAGGCUAUGGCCCACAGCCGCCCCAGAGCCCACCGCCUGCUCCUGCACCUCGGAGCGGGUCUGGCUGCUGGAUAAACAUCUGUGCUUCCCGAUUCUUCACUCCCUCCCUGUAGCACAACCACACACCCACACCUUUUGCAUGUGACUUAGUAACACUUCCCACGAAAGAAGGCAGAG